AUUAGCAUGGAAUAAUAGAAUAGGACGAAGUUGUUUUAUUUUGUUGGUUUCUAGGACAACCGUAAUGAUUAAUAGGGAUAGUUGGGGGCAUUAGUAUUCAAUUGUCAGAGGUGAAAUUCUUGGAUUUAUUGAAGACUAACUUCUGCGAAAGCAUUUGCCAAGGAUGUUUUCAUUAAUCAAGAACGAAAGUUAGGGGAUCGAAGACGAUCAGAUACCGUCGUAGUCUUAACCAUAAACUAUGCCGACUAGGAAUCGGACGAUGUUAAUUUUUUAAUGACUCGUUCGGCACCUUACG
rnacentral:rRNA from 1 species